rnacentral:lncRNA from 1 species
CAAUGAGCAUAGCACACUUAGUAACAUAAAUGUGCUUUAAUCAGAACCCUGGAAUGUAUUACAACCUUGAAUUCUGCUCUUUCCUAAUUCAUAACAGAUUCCUCAGAAAUCCUUAUUUGAUGCAAGUGGUAAUUUUUCUCUUUGAGGGCUUCAUUGGCAAUCAUAAACCCAGCAACCUUGCUCCAUGCUGAUCCCCACAGGAUGGGCAGCUGUGGACUGCAUUUGAUCUAUCUUUUCAUUACUUUUUAGGAGCUUUUCAGUUUCCUAAAAUGUUAUAAUCUGUGAACACAUACUCUGAUUCUCCAAAGAAAACGGGUGUGGUAAAUAAAAAUGUAAUAGCAAACGUAGCA